GAUGAACGCUGGCGGCGUGCUUAACACAUGCAAGUCGAACGAUGAAGCCCAGCUUGCUGGGUGGAUUAGUGGCGAACGGGUGAGUAACACGUGAGUAACCUGCCCUUAACUCUGGGAUAAGCCUGGGAAACUGGGUCUAAUACCGGAUAGGAGCGUCCACCGCAUGGUGGGUGUUGGAAAGAUUUAUCGGUUUUGGAUGGACUCGCGGCCUAUCAGCUUGUUGGUGAGGUAAUGGCUCACCAGGGCGACGACGGGUAGCCGGCCUGAGAGGGUGACCGGCCACACUGGGUCUGAGACACGGCCCAGACUCCUACGGGAGGCAGCAGUGGGGAAUAUUGCACAAUGGGCGCAAGCCUGAUGCAGCGACGCCGCGUGAGGGAUGACGGCCUUCGGGUUGUAAACCUCUUUCAGUAGGGAAGAAGCGAAAGUGACGGUACCUGCAGAAGAAGCACCGGCUAACUACGUG
rnacentral:rRNA from 1 species